CUGUCGCUGCUUGUGCAGCUCUAAUACCAUUAGUCACUUGUUAUUGUUUUUUAGCCGCUAAUGUUAAAUUAAGAUAAAUAUGGAAGUAGAAUUCAGCAAAGAGAACUUCCUGCUGCCAGAGACAAAGUAUGAAUACCUGGACCACACGGCCGACGUGCAACUCCAUGCCUGGGGCACUACGCUGACGGAGGCCUUCGAGCAGUGCGGCGUGUCCAUGUUCGGAUACAUGACGGAGCUGGAGUACGUGUCCGUGGAGAGCUGCUAUGAGAUCGAGGCCAAGGGCGAUGAUCUGGAGGGACUAUUGUUUCACUUUCUCGACGAGCUGCUAUUCCUGUUCUCCUGUGAGCCGAAUCUGGUGUGCAAGAAACUGGAAAUCACCAAAUUCGAUCUGGAGACCUUCGAGAUUGUCUGCCGCUGCUACGGCGAACCAUUCGAGCUGGGCAAACAUCCUCAGGGCACCGAGGUGAAGGCAAUAACCUACUCGGCCAUGCAAAUCGUACAGGACGCGGACAACAGCAACUUCGAAGUGUUUGUUAUAAUUGAUAUUUGAGCAAAGCUGUCGCCAGUGCAAGCGGAUCCCCCCGGAUAUCCAGUGACUUUUUCGUUUAGCUGGUAUGUCGAUUGCAUUUACUCCCUCCUUGUCUCCAUUAAUCAUAAGUGAAAUGCCAAAAACAAAAAAACUCACAAAAAGCUGCACAAGCCCCGAAAUAUCUGCACUCUGGCGACCGGCGACUGCAUCCAUCCCCUGUCUGCGGUGAGAGGUGAGGUUUGGCGACGUGUGAGAGAGGAGUGGAUGAUGACUUAUCAAAAAACCAUUCAAUUGUGCGGCGGCUGCUGCUGCUGCUGAUGCUUGCAAAUGCAAUUAAGACUUUUGGUCCUUUGUGAGUCCAGCGUCUGGGGGGUUUCUGGAUUUACUUUACCCUUUUUUUUUUGGUUGGCGCAAUUUUUUAGGCUUUGUGAAUUUACAACGUGUUGUAUUCCCAGACAAGGCAGCCCAAUUCCCAGGGCACAGUUCAAUGCACUUU